rnacentral:rRNA from 1 species
GACAGAGGGUGCAAACGUUGUUCGGAAUUACUGGGCGUAAAGCGCGUGUAGGCUGCUCGGAAAGUCGGAUGUGAAAGCCCUGGGCUCAACCUAGGAAGUGCAUUCGAAACUUCCGAGCUGGAGUGCUGGAGAGGAAGGCGGAAUUCUCGGUGUAGAGGUGAAAUUCGUAGAUAUCGAGAGGAACACCGGUGGCGAAGGCGCACAUCUGGCCCGAUACUGACGCUGAGGCGCGAAAGCUAGGGGAGCAAACGGG